rnacentral:SRP_RNA from 2 species
GCUGGGCGCGAUGGCUCAUGCCUGUAAUCCCAGCACUUUGGGAGGCCGAGGUGGGGGGAUCACCUGAGGUCAGGAGUUUGAGACCAGCCUGGCCAAUAUGGUGAAACCCCAUCUCUA